rnacentral:rRNA from 1 species
AUGAUAACAGUUAUCAUCGCUAGCUGCAUAGGCAUCUUCCUGGUGACCGGGAUUAUGCUUCUUCUCAGGUACCUCUUCCGUGGGAGGUUGUCUCGUGUGCCUCCAAGGCAAAGCAUACAACUUGGUAGCUCCGCGCCAAUGCAGUUUUCAGCCAGCCAGCUCAGAGAUGCGACUAACAACUUCACUGACCCUCUAGGCAGCGGUGCAUUCGGUACCGUGUACAAGGGUACAAUGGGAGGGAAGGAGGUUGCCGUAAAGAAGCUUCAUAGCAAGGAUGGAGUCGUAGGGGCAGCCUUCACCAGCGAAGCCCACAUGCUCAUGGCGUUCAAGCAUAAGAAUCUUGUGAAGCUGCUGGGGUACUGCAACACAGGCGACGACAGGUUGCUCUGCUUCGAGUAUCUCAGUGGCGGAAGCAUCGAUAAGCUUAUCUAUAAGGAAAGUGGGUACGUGUUAGAUUGGAGCGGACGCUACAAGAUUGUGCAAAGAAUAUGUUCAGGCCUGCACUACCUACACCACGAACUAGACCAUGAGCAGAACAUCGUGCACCUGGAUUUGAAAGCGAGCAAUGUACUGGUCAGCCACGACGGCGAUGGAGGAGACAUCACCUGUGUGAAGAUCGCCGGCUUUGGCCUCUCAAAGUUCUUCAAGGCGGAUCUAACGCACUCGUACACGGAGCAGGUCGUUGGUCUAAGGGCGUAUAUGGCACCGGAAUACCUCUGCAAGGGCAGAAUUUCGCCCAAGGCCGAUAUAUACAGCUUUGGCAUUCUUAUUCUGGAGAUAGUCACUGGGCGAUGCGCCAAGGUGGGCGAUUCUUCAGGCGACUUCAUCACUUGGGUUCAUGACGAGUGGAGAGGAGACGUCCGAGCUCUCAUGGAUGUUGAUGGCCUGUCGGGUGACUCUAUCACACAAGCCCGCAACUGCAUCGAGGUAGCGCUGGACUGCAUCCAGGAAGAACCCAACAGCAGGCCGGACGCGGAAAUGAUAAGGCAGAGGCUCUCGCAUGUAUGA